CGGGGGAUCGCAAGACCUCGCGCGAAUGGAGCGGCCGAUGUCAGAUUAGGUAGUUGGUGGGGUAAAGGCUCACCAAGCCGACGAUCUGUAGCUGGUCUGAGAGGACGACCAGCCACACUGGGACUGAGACACGGCCCAGACUCCUACGGGUAGGCAGCAGUGGGGAAUUUUUGGACAAUGGGCGCAAGCCUGAUCCAGCCAUUCCGCGUGCAGGAUGAAGGCCUUCGGGUUGUAAACUGCUUUUGUACGGAACGAAACGGUUCUCUCUAAUACAGGGGGCUAAUGACGGUACCGUAAGAAUAAGCACCGGCUAACUACGUG
rnacentral:rRNA from 1 species